rnacentral:tRNA from 1 species
GUUGGUUAAAAUCCCUCCUUUACUA